GACGAACGCUGGCGGCGUGCUUAACACAUGCAAGUCGAACGGAAAGGCCCUGCUUUUGCGGGGUGCUCGAGUGGCGAACGGGUGAGUAACACGUGAGUAACCUGCCCCUGUCUUUCGGAUAACUUCAGGAAACUGGGGCUCAUAUCGGAUAGGAGCUCCUGCUGCAUGGUGGUGGAUGGAAAGUUUCGGCGGUUGGGGAUGGACUCGCGGCUUAUCAGCUUGUUGGUGGAGUAGUGGCUUACCAAGGCUUUGACGGGUAGCCGGCCUGGGAAGGUGGACGGCCACCAUGGGCCUGAGGUAGGCAGCAGUAUCGUACGGGCGGCAGCAGUGGGAAAUAUUGCACAAUGGGGGCACGCCAGAUGCGACAGCGCCGCGUGCGGAAUGACGGGCUACGGGUUGUAAACCGCUUUGGACUGAGACGAAGCGGGAGUGACGGUAAUGGGUAAGAAAGCACCGGCUAACUACGUG
rnacentral:rRNA from 1 species